GGACAGCUCAGUCAGGAAAGCAUGAGACUCUUAAUCUCAGGAUCACAGGUUUGAGCCCCAUGUGGAACA